rnacentral:rRNA from 1 species
UACGAAGGGGGGCUAGCGUUGCUCGGAAUCACUGGGCGUAAAGGGUGCGUAGGCGGUUUUGGUAAGUCUGAUGUGAAAUCUAUGGGCUCAACUCAUAGUCUGCAUCGGAAACUGCCGGGCUUGAGUGUGGGAGAGGUGAGUGGAAUUCCUGGUGUAGCGGUGAAAUGCGUAGAUAUCAGGAGGAACACCUGUGGCGAAAAGCGGCUCACUGGACCAUAACUGACGCUGAUGCACGAAAAGCUAGGGGGAGCAAACAGG